UACGGAGGGUGCGAGCGUUGUCCGGAAUCACUGGGCGUAAAGAGCUCGUAGGCGGUCUGUCGCGUCGAAUGUGAAAACCCGGGACUCAACUCCGGGCCUGCAUUCGAUACGGGCAGACUAGAGUUCGGUAGGGGAGACUGGAAUUCCUGGUGUAGCGGUGAAAUGCGCAGAUAUCAGGAGGAACACCGGUGGCGAAGGCGGGUCUCUGGGCAUUACCUGACGCUGAGGAGCGAAAGUGUGGGGAGCGAACAGG
rnacentral:rRNA from 1 species